UUUCUGCUAGGUCUAGCAGUCUGGAUAUGAUCUCCUCAGUGGUAGAGAAGGUAUACAGUCUACUCUGACUCCCUCUGUGUAGUCCUCUUCAUAUCAUUUGGUAUCACCUGCAAUUGUCUGUUUUCUGACCUCUAAUUUUCCAGCUUAGCAAGGUACCUUAACUGCUUCAUAAGAGCACAGCACAGCCUUAAUUGAUCUGAAUGGAAGGGUGUUUGGUCUGUCUAAGGCAGCACGCACUAGCAUGUAUGGACGUCCAGGUGCUGUAUACGUAGAUAUAUCUGGGGACAUGGUCAAUGCUAAAUUGGACAGGAGCAGAGCCAGAGAGGUGCCCUGUAGUCCACCUCCUCCUGUGAGUAUGGCUGACCAUAUGGUGAUCACAGAAGCACUGGCGGUCCUGAAAGGAGCCAAACGGCCUUUACUCAUCAUUGGCAAAGGUGCAGCCCAUUGAAGAGCAGAGGGGGCUCUGAAGGAGCUGGUGGAGGGGUGUGACCUGCCCUUCCUGCCCACCCCCCAUGGGUAAAGGGGUGCUGCCUGACGAUCACCCCAACUGUGUUGCUGCUGCCCGCUCCAGAGCUCUGCUCCAGUCUGAUGUUGUGGUCCUACUUGGUGCCAGACUCAACUGGAUCCUGCACUUUGGCCUUCCCCCAGGUUUGACACCCAAGUAAAGGUCAUCCAGCUAGGUCAAAGGUCACCAGUAGGGUUUCUUUUUUUUCCUUCUUUUUUUCGGAUUCCAGAUUUUCUGCUUAUUCCGUUCUGAUUUCUGGAAUCUUCCAACAGGGAUUUCUGGGAAUUUUGGGAAAGUAACUGUAAUUUUGCAACCCUAGUCACAGGUCAUUUCAUAGUGAACUACAGUUCAUUGUAACCAGGUAUAAAGGUAUUUGACUCAGUCUAUUGGAUUUAGUCUAUCAAUUAUAUAGCUUCUCUAUAAGUCUUUGUGGUCUCUCCAAAUAAUGUCAUGGCUGUCUUAGUGCUGUACAGUACAUCUAUAUUUAAGCA